rnacentral:rRNA from 1 species
GAAUUGACGGGGGCCCGCACAAGCGGUGGAGCAUGUGGUUUAAUUCGAUGCAACGCGAAGAACCUUACCAGGUCUUGACAUCCAGAGAAUCCUUUGGAAACAAGGGAGUGCCUUUUUAAGGAGCUCUGAGACAGGUGGUGCAUGGUUGUCGUCAGCUCGUGUCGUGAGAUGUUGGGUUAAGUCCCGCAACGAGCGCAACCCUUGCUAUUAGUUGCUAACAGGUGAUGCUGAGCACUCUAAUGGGACUGCCCGUGACAAGCGGGAGGAAGGUGGGGAUGACGUCAAAUCAUCAUGCCCUUUAUGAUCUGGGCUACACACGUGCUACAAUGGGUGGUACAGAGAGCUGCGAAGCCGUGAGGUGGAGCGAAUCUCAAAAAGCCAUUCUCAGUUCGGAUUGCAGUCUGCAACUCGACUGCAUGAAGUCGGAAUCGCUAGUAAUCGCGAAUCAGCACGUCGCGGUGAAUGCGUUCCCGGGCCUUGUACACACCG